UGGGGAAUAUUGCACAAUGGGCGAAAGCCUGAUGCAGCAACGCCGCGUGAGGGACGACGGCCUUCGGGUUGUAAACCUCUUUUAGCAAGGAAGAAGCGAAAGUGACGGUACUUGCAGAAAAAGCGCCGGCUAACUACGUGCCAGCAGCCGCGGUAAUACGUAGGGCGCAAGCGUUAUCCGGAAUUAUUGGGCGUAAAGAGCUCGUAGGCGGUUUGUCGCGUCUGCUGUGAAAACCCGAGGCUCAACCUCGGGCCUGCAGUGGGUACGGGCAGACUAGAGUGCGGUAGGGGAGAUUGGAACUCCUGGUGUAGCGGUGGAAUGCGCAGAUAUCAGGAAGAACACCGAUGGCGAAGGCAGAUCUCUGGGCCGUAACUGACGCUGAGGAGCGAAAGGGUGGGGAGCAAACA
rnacentral:rRNA from 1 species